rnacentral:pre_miRNA from 1 species
CUAAAAAACAAACCCUGGUUUCCGUGCCUAAUGUUUGACCGUCCGUCUUAUUUGAAAAAAUUAUAAAAAAAUUGAAAAGACAAGUCACGCAUAAAAUAUUAAUCAUGUUUUAUCGUCUAACAACAAUGAAAAUACGAAUUAUAAAAAAUUUCAUAUAAGACAGACCGUCAAAGUUGGACACGGAAACUCAUGCCUUUUUUUUUU